rnacentral:rRNA from 1 species
CCUACGGGAGGCAGCAGUGAGGAAUAUUGGUCAAUGGACGCAAGUCUGAACCAGCCAUGCCGCGUGCAGGAAGACGGCUCUAUGAGGUGUAAACUGCUUUUGUACGAGGGUAAACGCAGAUACGCGUAUCUGUCUGAAAGUAUCGUACGAAUAAGGAUCGGCUAACUCCGUGCCAGCAGACGCGGUAAUACGGAGGAUUCAAGCGUUAUCCGGAUUUAUUGGGUUUAACGGGUGCGUAGGCGUUCGGGUAAGUUAGAGGUGAAAUCCCGCGGCUCAACUUCGGAAUUGCCUCUGCUUCUUUUCGGCUAGAGCGUAGUUGCGGUAGGCGCAAUGUCUGUUGUAGCGGUUAACUGCUU